UGAUAAUGAAGACUGAAAUCUUCCUAAAAA
rnacentral:piRNA from 1 species